rnacentral:rRNA from 1 species
CAGCAGUGGGGAAUAUUGCACAAUGGGCGCAAGCCUGAUGCAGCCAUGCCGCGUGUGUGAAGAAGGCCUUCGGGUUGUAAAGCACUUUCAGCGAGGAGGAAGGCAUCAUGGUUAAUACCUGUGGUGAUUGACGUUACUCGCAGAAGAAGCACCGGCUAACUCCGUGCCAGCAGCCGCGGUAAUACGGAGGGUGCAAGCGUUAAUCGGAAUUACUGGGCGUAAAGCGCACGCAGGCGGUCUGUUAAGUCGGAUGUGAAAUC